rnacentral:rRNA from 1 species
UACGGAAGGGGCGAGCGUUGUUCGGAAUCAUUGGGCGUAAAGGGCGUGUAGGUGGUUCUGUAUGUCUACCGUGAAAGCGUACGGCUCAACCGUAUUUAGUCGGUAGAAACUGCAGGACUUGAGGCUGGGAGGGGCUGGUGGAAUUCCCCGUGUAGCGGUGAAAUGCGCAGAUAUCAGGAGGAACACCGAUGGCGAAGGCAGCUCGCUGGGACGGUACUGACGCUGAGACGCGAAAGCGUGGGGAGCAAACAGG